CAAGGUUAUGUCACCGCGGAAGAGGUUGAAAAAAGGCUUUUUUGGUCGUCUGGUCGUGCCAUGGAUACCCUGGAGACUCUUCUGAAGGAAGGUCUGUCCAUGAUUGAUGACGGGCAUAGAGACGGCAAGCGACGAUAUUGGUUCCCCUGUGUUGCUUCGAUUUCUGUCACGACUGGACUGAUCGGUUGAGGAGCUGAGGCUUUCAGAUUUCACUCUUGAAGACUAUAAGCUGACAGUUAUUAGACUGGAAGCAAAAAAUCUUGUCCUUUACUCGUAGACUCCAAUAAAUUAAAUACGCCAUUAACAGUUACCUUCACUAUUGGUUCAGAUCUACCACCAUCUCGAAAAAAUUGAGGAAAAAGCUCAGCUCUCUCAUAAACAAUUUUAUCCAUCAUAAUGAAGUGAUGAAAGAUGCAUACUUUAGUUUGGAUUACUUUCACCAAAUCCAAAGAAAAUGGUGGACUGGGUCUUCUCAAUAUUGAUAUUUUAAACUUCAUAUGCAAAUCCAAAGUCUUUUGUAUCUAUCAGAUCGGUGCAACGCUAAUUAUGAUCCCCUAUGGUACAAUAUGAAGCUCACAAUUUCCACUUUUUGAAGUGAGUUUAUGCAAGUGACUACCAGAAUUAGGGCGUGCUUUUCUUUUCAAGUUAACUGCAAAAGUAAUUUAUAUUUCUCUUUUGAUCCUUGGUUGAAUGGUGUAUCUUUUUAUGAGUUUUUUUGGGAAUCACUUUUUCUCAUGGUUUUCCCAUUCAUACUAAACUUUUUGAUAUUAUUACUGACAAUGCUUGGCUCCUUUCUGCUAA